GCAAGCCGUGGCAAGUAGCCGCGUGAAUACUGGGUGGGGUAGCUUGUGUCGGAAGUACUGGUCGUAAAGGGCUAGUAGGCGGCCAACUAAGUCAGACGUGAAAUCCCUCGGCUUAACCGGGGAACUGGGUCUGAGACGGGAUGGCGUGAGUGUGGGAGAGGGAUGCGGAAGUCCAGGGGGAGCGGUGAAAUGCGUAGAUAUCUGGAGGAACACCGGUGGCGAAGGCGGCAUCCUGGACCAUUACUGACGCUGAGGAGCGAAAGCCAGGGGAGCAAACGGGAUUAGAUACCCGUGUAGUC
rnacentral:rRNA from 1 species